UAUACUAGACAGUUGAAGAAGAAGAAAAAGAAGAAGAAAAAAGGUCACUAGGUGAAUAUCUGAAGAACAUUGAAAAAGAUGCAGCAUCCCAGGAAAGUUUACUGAAUACUAGAGAGACCAAACUGGCCUACAAGAAAAACAAAAUGAGAUAUAGAAAAGAAACAUGGCAAGGGAAAUAAUUAUAUGACCAGUAUAUAAAAAACAGCAGGCAGAGCAGAUAACACGAUCCGGCAAUGGCUAAGAACAGUAAAAGGAAAAAAGAAAAAGAAAAGGGCUAAUUCUGGCUAGACUUAACAAUAAAUGCAUUCAAAGCCAGAACUGAGAAAAUAUCAACAGACAACAAAUGCCACCUACGCAAAGAAGCUGAAGAAACAGUGGACCACCUAGUUAGUUGCUGCAAGAAGAUUGCAUAGACUGACUUCAAAUAAUGGCAUGACAGAUUAGUAAUAAUGGUGCUCUGGAAUAUCUGCAAGAUAUAUCACUUGCCUGUAAGCAAGAUUAGAAAAUAGACAAAGUAAUAGAUAAUGAAGAAGCUAAAGUUCUGGGACUUUAGAAUUCAUCAGACAAGCGCUUGCUGCAUAACAUCCCAGACUUAACAAUUGUUGAUAAGAAAGACAAAACAGUCUCGAUAGUUCACAGUACAAAGCAUAGAGGCAGCAGAAUAGAAGAGAAAGAAGAAUAGAAUAGAAUAGAAUUCUUUAUUGGCCAAGUGUGAUUGGACACACAAGGAAAUCAUUUCUACACUUUUGAGUGUGUUUGGUUCCAGAUUGUUCCGGUCACACCACGAGGCAAGUUGUACAACCUCCUAUCUGUAUGCGGAUUCAUCGUUGUCUCGAAUGAGACCAAUCACUAUUGUAUCA